rnacentral:rRNA from 1 species
UGGGGAAUAUUGGACAAUGGGGGCAACCCUGAUCCAGCAAUGCCGCGUGAAUGAAGAAGGCCUUCGGGUUGUAAAGUUCUUUCACCUGUGAAGAUUAUGACAGUAGCAGGAGAAGAAGCUCCGGCUAACUCCGUGCCAGCAGCCGCGGUAAGACGGGGGGAGCUAGCGUUAUUCGGAAUUACUGGGCGUAAAGGGUGCGUAGGCGGCUCUUUAAGUAAGGCGUGAAAGACCUGAGCUCAACUCAGGAAGUGCGUUUUAAACUGGAGAGCUAGAGGAUGGCAGAGGAAAGUGGAAUUUCCAGUGUAGAGGUAAAAUUCGCAGAUAUUGGAAGGAACACCAGAGGCGAAGGCGACUUUCUGGGCCAUUCCUGACGCUGAGGCACGAAAGCGUGGGGAGCAAACAGG